rnacentral:rRNA from 1 species
GAUGAACGCUGGCGGCGUGCCUAAUACAUGCAAGUCGAGCGAACAGACGAGGCGCUUGCUCCUCUGUCGUUUGCGGCGGACGUGUGAGUAACACGUGUAUAACCUACCUAUAAGUCUGGUAUCACUUCGGGACACCGGAUCUUAUACCGUAUAAUCUAUUGCACCGCGUGGUUCAAUAGUGAAAGACGGUUUUGCUGUCACUUCUCGAUGGAUCCGCGCCGCAUUGUCUAGUUGGUAAGGUAAAGGCUUACCAAGGCGACGAUGCGUAGCCGACCUGAGAGGGUGAUCGGCCACACUGGAACGGAGACACGGUCCAGACUCCUACGGGAGGCAGCAGUAGGGAAUCUUGCGCAAUGGGCGAAAGCCUGACGGAGCAACGCCGCGUGAGUGAUGAAGGUCUUCGGAUCGUAAAACUCUGUUAUUAGGGAAGAACAAAUGUGUAAGUAACUAUGCACGUCUUGACGGUACCUAAUCAGAAAGCCACGGCUAACUACGUG